GGCCCGGCACAAGCGGUGGAGCAUGUGGUUUAAUUCGAUGCAACGCGAAGAACCUUACCUACACUUGACAUCCUCGGAAUUUAGCAGAGAUGCUUUAGUGCCUUCGGGAACCGAGUGACAGGUGCUGCAUGGCUGUCGUCAGCUCGUGUCGUGAGAUGUUGGGUUAAGUCCCGUAACGAGCGCAACCCUUAUCUUUAGUUGCCAGCACGUAAUGGUGGGGACUCUAGAGAGACUGCCAGUGAUAAACUGGAGGAAGGUGGGGACGACGUCAAGUCAUCAUGGCCCUUACGUGUAGGGCUACACACGUGCUACAAUGGUCGGUACAAAAGGUUGCCAACCCGCGAGGGGGAGCUAAUCCAAUAAAGCCGAUCGUAGUCCGGAUUGGAGUCUGCAACUCGACUCCAUGAAGUUGGAAUCGCUAGUAA
rnacentral:rRNA from 1 species